ACGACGAUGCGUAGGGGUUCUGAGAGGAAGGUCCCCCACACUGGUACUGAGACACGGACCAGGCUCCUACGGAAGGCAGCAG
rnacentral:rRNA from 1 species